GAUGAACGCUGGCGGCGUGCUUAACACAUGCAAGUCGAACGAUGAAGCCCCAGCUUGCUGGGGUGGAUUAGUGGCGAACGGGUGAGUAACACGUGAGUAACCUGCCCUUGACUCUGGGAUAAGCCUUGGAAACGGGGUCUAAUACCGGAUAGGAGCAUUCACCGCAUGGUGGGUGUUGGAAAGAAUUUCGGUCUUGGAUGGACUCGCGGCCCAUCAGCUUGUUGGUGAGGUAAUGGCUCACCAAGGCGACGACGGGUAGCCGGCCUGAGAGGGUGACCGGCCACACUGGGACUGAGACACGGCCCAGACUCCUACGGGAGGCAGCAGUGGGGAAUAUUGCACAAUGGGCGCAAGCCUGAUGCAGCGACGCCGCGUGAGGGAUGACGGCCUUCGGGUUGUAAACCUCUUUCAGUAGGGAAGAAGCGAAAGUGACGGUACCUGCAGAAGAAGCACCGGCUAACUACGUGC
rnacentral:rRNA from 1 species